GAGAGAUUUUAUACUUUUACCAGAACUUACCAUUAUAUAUAUAGUUUCACUGUCUUUUUAUUUAGUAGCUUUUGGGAGUGGAUGCAUGAGUAGAUAUUGCGAAAUAUGGUAUGACGGUAUGACCAUCUUUUUCUUACUCCUUGUAUUGCUAUGCACUAGAGAGAUUGUAACUGAAACUGGGUAAAAGAAAGUACUGAUCAGGUUAAUGAUCUCUAUUUCUAUAGUUAUAAUAUUGGCUACUGAAUUGGAUAGACUAAUUUUGUACAAACAGUUUUGUCAGGUUAAUGAUCUCUGCAGUUAUUAUUUCUAUUAUUGCUAUUGAAGCUUUUUCUGCUCAACUCAUCAGGUAAAAAAUUCUGGAACUUGUUCCAUAUGCAACCUAUGCGUGACCAGAAGAGAGAAGUACAGUAUUUUAUUGGUGUUCAACUCGACGAUAGCCAACAUGUGGAGCCUCUUCACAACUGCAUCACAGAAAAUACUGCAAAAGAAGGAGAACAACUGAUCCUGGACAGUGGAGAACAGGUUUUGUAGAUCCUUGGUUUUGAUGACAAAUUUCUGCAUGUUCACUAUGGUAAGAAAAAGAAUUGUUUGUUAUUUUUUUGGUUUCUAAUCUUAAUUUUGUAAUGUUUAUAGUGCUGAAAAAAGAUGAGACACUUUGCUACUAUGUGUAAGAAUGUAAAAAAUAGGAAGUCUUGUGUCAUCAAAUUUUGUCACAAGUGCCUCUUAAACAGAUAUGGAGAGACUAGAGAGAAGGCAGAAGAAGUGAUGCAGCAAGAAGAAUAGAUUUGUAUGUGAUAUUGAAUGAGGAAUGAACCAAAACAUGUUGAUAAAUACAUUUAUCAAGGAUUAGUGUAAGGACC